rnacentral:rRNA from 1 species
GAUGAACGCUAGCGGCAGGCCUAAUACAUGCAAGUCGAACGGUAAGUUUUCUUUCGGGAAGACACGAGUGGCGAACGGGUGCGUAACGCGUAUGCAACCUGGCCCUUACUGGGGGAUAGC